rnacentral:rRNA from 1 species
GACGAACGCUGGCGGCGUGCUUAACACAUGCAAGUCGAACGGAAAGGCCCUGCUUUUGUGGGGUGCUCGAGUGGCGAACGGGUGAGUAACACGUGAGUAACCUGCCCUUGACUUUGGGAUAACUUCAGGAAACUGGGGCUAAUACCGGAUAGGAGCUCCUGCUGCAUGGUGGGGGUUGGAAAGUUUCGGCGGUUGGGGAUGGACUCGCGGCUUAUCAGCUUGUUGGUGGGGUAGUGGCUUACCAAGGCUUUGACGGGUAGCCGGCCUGAGAGGGUGACCGGCCACAUUGGGACUGGGAUACGGCCCAGACCCCUACGGGAGGCAGCAGUGGGGAAUAUUGCACAAUGGGCGGAAGCCUGAUGCAGCAACGCCGCGUGCGGGAUGACGGCCUUCGGGUUGUAAACCGCUUUCGCCUGUGACGAAGCGUGAGUGACGGUAAUGGGUAAAGAAGCACCGGCUAACUACGUG